rnacentral:rRNA from 1 species
UACAGAGGUCCCGAGCGUUGUUCGGAUUUACUGGGCGUAAAGGGUGCGUAGGUGGUCGGGUAAGUCUCAUGUGAAAUCCCGCAGCUUAACUGCGGAACGGCAUGGGAUACUAUUCGGCUCGAGGAUUGGAGGGGGGACUGGAAUUCCCGGUGUAGCAGUGAAAUGCGUAGAUAUCGGGAGGAACACCAGUGGCGAAGGCGAGUCCCUGGACAAUUCCUGACGCUGAGGCACGAAAGCCAGGGGAGCGAACGGG